GCGGCGGACGGGUGAGUAACGCGUAGAUAACCUACCCCAUACACAGGGAUAGCCUAGGGAAACCUGGAUUAAUACCUGAUGAUGCGAGAAUGUCACAUGACGAUCUCGCCAAAGAUUUAUCGGUAUGGGAUGGAUCUGCGUCUGAUUAGUUAGUUGGUGAGGUAACGGCUCACCAAGGCAGCGAUCAGUAGCCGACCUGAGAGGGUAAUCGGCCACAUUGGAACUGAGACACGGUCCAAACUCCUACGGGAGGCAGCAGUGGGGAAUAUUGCACAAUGGGCGCAAGCCUGAUGCAGCAACGCCGCGUGAGCGAUGAAGGUCUUCGGAUCGUAAAGCUCUGUCCUUGGGGAAGAAAAAAAUGACGGUACCCAAGGAGGAAGCCCCGGCUAACUACGUGCCAGCAGCCGCGGUAAUACGUAGGGGGCGAGCGUUAUCCGGAAUUAUUGGGCGUAAAGAGUACGUAGGUGGUUUUGUAAGCAUGGGGUGAAAGACCGAAGCUCAACUUCGGUUAGCCUUGUGAACUGCAAGACUUGAGUGCAGGAGAGGAAAGUGGAAUUCCUAGUGUAGCGGUGAAAUGCGUAGAUAUUAGGAGGAACACCAGUGGCGAAGGCGACUUUCUGGACUGUAACUGACACUGAGGUACGAAAGCGUGGGUAGCAAACAGGAUUAGAUACCCUGGUAGUCCACGCCGUAAACGAUGAGCACUAGGUGUCGGGGUCGCAAGGCUUCGGUGCCGCAGUUAACGCAUUAAGUGCUCCGCCUGGGGAGUACGCACGCAAGUGUAAAACUCAAAGGAAUUGACGGGGACCCGCACAAGCAGCGGAGCAUGUGGUUUAAUUCGAAGCAACGCG
rnacentral:rRNA from 1 species